rnacentral:rRNA from 1 species
GACGAACGCUGGCGGCGUGCUUAACACAUGCAAGUCGAACGAAGAGCGAUGGAAGCUUGCUUCUAUCAAUCUUAGUGGCGAACGGGUGAGUAACGCGUAAUCAACCUGCCCUUCAGAGGGAGACAACAGUUGGAAACGACUGCUAAUACCGCAUACGAUCUAAUCUCGGCAUCGAGGAUAGAUGAAAGGUGGCCUCUACAUGUAAGCUAUCACUGAAGGAGGGGAUUGCGUCUGAUUAGCUAGUUGGAGGGGUAACGGCCCACCAAGGCGAUGAUCAGUAGCCGGUCUGAGAGGAUGAACGGCCACAUUGGGACUGAGACACGGCCCAGACUCCUACGGGAGGCAGCAGUGGGGAAUCUUCCGCAAUGGACGAAAGUCUGACGGAGCAACGCCGCGUGAGUGAGGACGGCCUUCGGGUUGUAAAGCUCUGUUAAUCGGGACGAAAGGCCUUCUUGCGAAUAGUGAGAAGGAUUGACGGUACCGGAAUAGAAAGCCACGGCUAACUACGUG